AAUCCAUUUGCCACAUUUCAAUGGGUCUCAAACCACAAGGGUUCUUCUCUGGAGGCAGUGUAGGAGCGUGGAAGGGAAGGCAAGGUGUACAGGUUUUACUAUGCUCCUACCUUCCUCUCUUGUUAUUACAAAUUGUAAGCAUAAAGCUCGAGCAGCCUGAUAUUUAGAAUGAGUUUCUUGGGCUGCCUUUCAAGGUGUGCCCCAUCUCUUUCUGAUGGACAAGGUGAAUAUGGCUCAUUGGCACCCAUCUGAUUCCUUCUCCAUUUGUGGAGAUACAAACAAACCCUCUCCCCCAAGCAGUUAACAUAUCGGGUCCCUUCCAUUCACCACUUUCUGGGCCUCUCCACAUCACCUGGCGAUUAAAGAUAAUGGAGAGGCUCGCACUGGACACUGCCCUUCUGGUGGGUUAUAAAAC